CAAAGAGUAGUUUAAGUAAGAAUACUGGCUUUGGGGGCCAGAGGUGGGUAUCCCUUUUUGA
rnacentral:tRNA from 1 species